rnacentral:rRNA from 1 species
GGAAUAUUGGGCAAUGGGCGCAAGCCUGACCCAGCGACGCCGCGUGAGGGAUGAAGGUCUUCGGAUUGUAAACCUCUUUCAGUGGGGAAGAAGCGAAAGUGACGGUACCCAAAGAAGAAGCACCGGCUAACUAUGUGCCAGCAGCCGCGGUAAUACAUAGGGUGCAAGCGUUGUCCGGAAUUAUUGGGCGUAAAGAGCUCGUAGGUGGUUUAUCACGUCGGAUGUGAAAUUCUGAGGCUCAACCUCGGACCUGCAUUCGAUACGGGCAAACUAGAGUGUGGUAGGGGAGACUGGAAUUCCUGGUGUAGCGGUGGAAUGCGCAGAUAUCAGGAGGAACACCAAUGGCGAAGGCAGGUCUCUGGGCCAUUACUGACACUGAGGAGCGAAAGCGCGGGGAGCGAACAGGAUUAGAUACCCUGGUAGUCCGCGCCGUAAACGGUGGGCACUAGUUGUGGGAACCUUCCACGGUUUCCGCGACGCAGCUAACGCAUUAAGUGCCCCGCCUGGGGAGUACGAUCGCAAGAUUAAAACUCAAAGGAAUUGACGG